CACGCAGCUGCCAUCACGGCCUAUGCCCUGACACUGACCAAGGCGCCUGUGGACCUGCUCGGUGUUGCCCACAACAACCUCAUGGCAAUGGCCCAGGAGACUGGAGUAACCUGUACUGGGGCUCAGUCACUGGUUCUCAGAGCAAUGCCGUGUCGCCCACCCCGGCUCCUCGCAACCCAUCCGACCCCAUGCCCCAGGCCCCAGCCCUGUGGAUUGAAACCACAGCCUACGCCCUGCUGCACCUCCUGCUUCACGAGGGCAAAGCAGAGAUGGCAGACCAGGCUUCGGCCUGGCUCACCCGUCAGGGCAGCUUCC
rnacentral:lncRNA from 1 species